rnacentral:rRNA from 1 species
UAGAGGAAGUAAAGUCGUAACAAGGUUUCCGUAGGUGAACCUGCGGAAGGAUCAUUAUCGUGUAGUCCGGUCGUGCAUCUGCAUGUACUGUAUGAAAACACCCACCCUGUGUACCGAAUCCCGUUGCUUCCGCUGGGCGUCCGGUGAGCGUUUUGGAGGUUCGUGAGACCCCCUCUCUCCUCCUCCAAGGUGCUGCUGGCGGCGCUGGAUUCACGGCGUGCCUGGCGGAAGGCUAAAAUAACCUCCGAGUUUUUAAACUUAUGGAAUCUGUCUGAACAAAUUUUGAACCUUUGAAAUAUUUUAAAACUUUCAGCAACGGAUCUCUUGGUUCUCGCAUCGAUGAAGAACGCAGCGAAAUGCGAUAAGUAGUGUGAAUUGCAGAAUUCCGUGAAUCAUCGAAUCUUUGAACGCACAUUGCGCCUUCUGGUAUUCCGGGAGGCAUGCCUGUUCGAGAGUCAUUGACACAAACCACAUCGUCGACCCUCACCUUUCUAAAGGGGGGUGGGGGGUCGUCGGCGGUCCUGGUGGAUGAGGGGGGAAUAGUUGGCAAAUAUAUAUAAYAAUCUCCUCCCCACCGAAAUUGAGAGGCAGUCUGUGAGUGAUAAAAACCCACAUAUGUUCGUUUAUGGCGUUGUAUAGACGGCUCUCAAAUUGUGGGGCCAACUCUGUUCGCUUGUAACAAACUUCCCUNNNNNNNGCCUCGACUAGCCUUCCAAAGUUCC